rnacentral:lncRNA from 1 species
GUCUCUAUAAUAGAAAACAUGCUGUACACUUACUGUAGACGUAAAACUAACCCUCCUUGAGUUGAUGAGCUUUGAUUUCAAGUGUUCUUCUAUCAAACUAUCAAGUCCUAAACUGUCACAGAAACUACAAGCAAAUCACAGGAACACAUAAUCUUGCAGAGUGCUGAUGCCUAUUCUGCCCAGGAAUCAGUCGGUAUUACUGUAAAACUUCCCGUCACCAAGCUCUGCUUUGAUGGAUGACCAAAGUAGCUGCUAUUCUAUUCAAAGCCUACCUGCUUGAUGAUUCCCUGCAAGACAAGGCUCAGCAGCUCCAAGGUUCCUCUGGAAGGUCAGCUUUAUACAGACAGCAAGGCGAGCACCUCCUGUGUCAGUGCCUGAGCUCCCAUCACUGUCAGCUGUGUGGUGUUGGAAGCCAUUACACACAGGCAGUGCUGCAGUUUCCAUGGGCAGCAAUGUGCACUGAGCUCGCAGCCGACAGACGCACCCGGAGCCAUCUGUGCCGAGCGGUUUGUGUGCAGAGCACGGCUAUCUUCUGUUUGCUACCUUCAGCAAUGAGACGGCGCAAUGCAGGAACAAUCAGAGGGAAAUGUUUCUGUCAUCUUCACUGGUACCCUCAGCUCCGU